AUGAGGACAGGAAUGAAAUGAACGCCAGGACCGAACUCGCUCCGGAGGGGUGGGGCCUCGGUGACGUCAUGCGGCCUGCCGCCCGGGGCCGGGGGCGGGGCCUGCCGCCGCCGGUGACGUCAUGGGGAUUCGGGGCGGGCCCGGCUCCGCCGCCUAGCCGUUGGGGCGCGGGCUCCCCCCGGAGGAGCGGCGGGGCGGAGUCUCGCGCCCACGGGGGAGCCGGGCGCGCGCGGGAGCCGCCCUGCCCCCUCCGGGAGCGGGCUCCGGGCUUUGUCCCGAGCUGGGCGGGGCGGACUGGGGAGGGCGCCUUGGCUGUGCCAGCGCUGCGCGGAAAACUGUGGAAACCUAGGUUCCCUCCGUGGGGCGGGCGAUGAGGUCCGAGCUGCGCUCGAAGCUCCUGCAGUGCCUCAGUUUCCCUCCUCCGGGACGCGGAAGGUUGGGCUGCUGCCUACAGCGCUCCUGGUCUCGCGGAAGUCUGCAAGGGUGGGGAAGAGAAGUUUCUCUUCUGGAAAUUUACGUUGUUCUCUAGCACGGUGGACGCCUUCCCGGGGCCGGAUUCCCAGCCUGCAAUUGCUUUCCCUCUUUUUCACUUUAUAAAAGUUCAGGGCUCUCGCUCAAGUCGAAGUCAGCCCUACUGUUGAGAAGGGAAACCUUUAGCAUAGCGGGGGGGAAAAGAUAAUUGCUGGGUUUGUAAUAAUCCUGCCCCGCUAACACGGUCUCCUCCAAGUCGCUCAAGAAAUCAAGUUCACUAAUCCCUGCGAAUUGUGCUUUUCGAAAGCAAUGAGUCAGGAGUAUAAAUUUGUACAACUUUGUUGGAGAAGUUUGGUAUCAGCUAUUAGAGUUGAAGUUAUACAUACUCUACGAGCCAGAAGUUCCCCUUAGGAAUACAGCCAAGAGAAACUCAGAACUGAGGCCUACUGCCAACAACCAUGUAAGUAAGCCAUCUUCAAAGCAGAUUAUCUGGUCUCCAUCAAACCUCCAGAUGACUGCAGCCUCAGCUGAUAGCUUGACUUCAACUUCAUGAGAAACCCUGAGAACCAUCUGAGCAACUCUCAAAUCCAUACUAUGAGCAGGCAGUUUGAAGAGUGGUCCUCGAUGUGGCUGCAAACAUGUCUAUUUCCUUCUUCCCAACCAACCAAUGGAGUGAGGGACUCUCCCCAUGCAGACUGAAGAGGUGUGAACUGAAGUCUGGCACUUGCCAUCAGCCUCUGCAUGGAGUAAAACAUGAGCCACUGAAGCUGCAGACCCGCAGCACUGCCUGAGUGGAGCUCAGCGUGGAGACCAGGCGUGAGGCUCUCUGUGCUCUGGGAAAACUGGAAGAACAGGCCUUCAGAUAGUUAGAUAUUUUUUUGGAGAAGCUUUUAUGAGCCCAAUUCUUGCAUCUCCUCAUAUCUAGAAAAACACUAAAAUCCUUCAAUGAUGACUGAUGUCUGUGACUAGUAUAUCUAGGAAAACACUACGCAUAUCUAGAAAAACACUAAAAUCCUUCAAUGAUGACUUCUAUAAAAUAUAUGCAUGGCUGCAUGCACUCCCCCUUCACCUUUAUGACUUAUAUAUUGAUACAGCCCUCUUUCCUCUUUAGGGUGGUAUUUCAGACCUAUCUGAAAUACUGCCUCAUGGGCUGUAGUUAGAGGACGAAACGAAAGAUAUCAUGGUCAUCUGCAACCACAACCACUCCCAAGGACGGGCCACUGAGCCCUGAGGGAACUCAGGGAAGAAACGAAGAAGACUGGCCCACAGUUGAGGUGCACAUCAAAGGAGCAACUCCAGGAAGCCCACACUUUGACAUCUUCCCAUAGAAACUGGUUUUCUGUCAAUCUGGUUAUCUGUAAAUCUUUUGUUCCUACUACCUUCCCUUUGUUGCAAAACUCACAUGGCACCCCCCACCUCACCUGCUCAGAGUGGUUUCUCAGGGCUACCUGAGAUGCUGUCUCUUGGGCUUAAGUCCUAAUGUCACCCCAAAUAAAACUUAACUCUCAAAUUUCAGGUUGUAUUUUUUUAGUUGACACAAGUGAUAUUGGUAUAUAUUCCCAAUGGCUUGUGGGUUUUCUUGUUUUGUCUUUUUGGGGCUGCACUAGUGGUAUAUGGAAGUUCCCAGUCUAGGGGUUGAAUC